rnacentral:rRNA from 1 species
AUACGUAGGUGACAAGCGUUAUCCGGAUUUACUGGGCGUAAAGGGCGUGUAGGCGGUCUUGCAAGUCAGAAGUGAAAGGCUACGGCUCAACCGUAGUAAGCUUUUGAAACUAAGAGACUUGAGUGCAGGAGAGGAGAGUAGAAUUCCUAGUGUAGCGGUGAAAUGCGUAGAUAUUAGGAGGAAUACCAGUUGCGAAGGCGGCACUCUGGACUGUAACAUACACUGAGGCACGAAAGCGUGGGGAGCAAACAGGAUUAGAUACCCUGGUAGUCCACGCUAUAAACGUUGAGUGCUAGGUGUCGGGGGUCAAACCUCGGUGCCGCAGUUAACACAUUAAGCACUCCGCCUGGGGAGUACGGCCGCAAGGCUGAAACUCAAAGGAAUUGACGGGG